rnacentral:rRNA from 2 species
AAGUCGAACGAGAAAGCACUUCGGUGCGAGUACAGUGGCGAACGGGUGAGUAACACGUGGGCAACCUGCCCCGGAGAGAGGGACAACCCGAGGAAACUCGGGCUAAUACCUCAUGAUCCGUCCCGACUUAAGUCGGGCCGGCAAAUGGUAGCUUCGGCCUCCGCUCUGGGAUGGGCCCGCGCCGGAUUAGCUAGUUGGUUGGGGUAAUGGCCCACCAAGGCGACGAUCCGUAGCUGGUCUGAGAGGACGAUCAGCCACACUGGGACUGAGACACGGCCCAGACUCC